GCUUGAGAUCGGAACUUGUCUGCAAGCUCCACCAUGGCUGGAUCUUCCCAGAGCUUCCGCGUCGACCUUGUUGAAAAGAUCUAGCGCCAGUGGGCCUUGGCCCGUUUCUGUCCCGGUGUAGACGUCGCCUGCGUGCGGCAUCCAGCUAUCCGUCGCUGUUAAGGCCAGCAUUUGCUUCUUCCCGGAUAGGAUCGCGAAGUGGUGUGG